AGAAGCAGAGGGGGCUUAGUGGUGGGGUGACUGCGUACCUUUUGUAUAAUGGGUCAGCGACUUAUAUUCUGUAGCAAGGUUAACCGUAUAGGGGAGCCGGAGGGAAACCGAGUCUUAACCGGGCGUUAAGUUGCAGGGUAUAGACCCGAAACCCGGUGAUCUAGCCAUGGGCAGGUUGAAGGUUGGGUAACACUAACUGGAGGACCGAACCGACUAAUGUUGAAAAAUUAGCGGAUGACCUGUGGCUGGGGGUGAAAGGCCAAUCAAACCGGGAGAUAGCUGGUUCUCCCCGAAAGCUAUUUAGGUAGCGCCUCGUGAAUUCAUCUCCGGGGGUAGAGCACUGUUUCGGCUAGGGGGCCAUCCCGGCUUACCAACCCGAUGCAAACUGCGAAUACCGGAGAAUGUUAUCACGGGAGACACACGGCGGGUGCUAACGUCCGUCGUGAAGAGGGAAACAACCCAGACCGCCAGCUAAGGUCCCAAAGUCAUGGUUAAGUGGGAAACGAUGUGGGAAGGCCCAGACAGCCAGGAUGUUGGCUUAGAAGCAGCCAUCAUUUAAAGAAAGCGUAAUAGCUCACUGGUCGAGUCGGCCUGCGCGGAAGAUGUAACGGGGCUAAACCAUGCACCGAAGCUGCGGCAGCGACACUGUGUGUUGUUGGGUAGGGGAGCGUUCUGUAAGCCUGUGAAGGUGUGCUGUGAGGCAUGCUGGAGGUAUCAGAAGUGCGAAUGCUGACAUAAGUAACGAUAAAGCGGGUGAAAAGCCCGCUCGCCGGAAGACCAAGGGUUCCUGUCCAACGUUAAUCGGGGCAGGGUGAGUCGACCCCUAAGGCGAGGCCGAAAGGCGUAGUCGAUGGGAAACGGGUUAAUAUUCCCGUACUUGGUGUUACUGCGAAGGGGGGACGGAGAAGGCUAUGUUGGCCGGGCGACGGUUGUCCCGGUUUAAGCGUGUAGGUGUGUGUUCCAGGUAAAUCCGGUUCACUUUAACACUGAGGCGUGAUGACGAGGCACUACGGUGCUGAAGCAACAAAUGCCCUGCUUCCAGGAAAAGCCUCUAAGCAUCAGGUAACAUCAAAUCGUACCCCAAACCGACACAGGUGGUCAGGUAGAGAAUACCAAGGCGCUUGAGAGAACUCGGGUGAAGGAACUAGGCAAAAUGGUGCCGUAACUUCGGGAGAAGGCACGCUGACACGUAGGUGAAGUGAUUUACUCACGGAGCUGAAGUCAGUCGAAGAUACCAGCUGGCUGCAACUGUUUAUUAAAAACACAGCACUGUGCAAACACGAAAGUGGACGUAUACGGUGUGACGCCUGCCCGGUGCCGGAAGGUUAAUUGAUGGGGUCAGCGCAAGCGAAGCUCCUGAUCGAAGCCCCGGUAAACGGCGGCCGUAACUAUAACGGUCCUAAGGUAGCGAAAUUCCUUGUCGGGUAAGUUCCGACCUGCACGAAUGGCGUAAUGAUGGCCAGGCUGUCUCCACCCGAGACUCAGUGAAAUUGAACUCGCUGUGAAGAUGCAGUGUACCCGCGGCAAGACGGAAAGACCCCGUGAACCUUUACUAUAGCUUGACACUGAACAUUGAGCCUUGAUGUGUAGGAUAGGUGGGAGGCUUUGAAGCGUGGACGCCAGUCUGCGUGGAGCCGACCUUGAAAUACCACCCUUUAA
rnacentral:rRNA from 1 species